rnacentral:rRNA from 2 species
GCCGCGUGAGUGAUGAAGGUUUUCGGAUCGUAAAACUCUGUUGUUAGGGAAGAACAAGUGCGAGAGUAACUGCUCGCACCUUGACGGUACCUAACCAGAAAGCCACGGCUAACUACGUGCCAGCAGCCGCGGUAAUACGUAGGUGGCAAGCGUUGUCCGGAAUUAUUGGGCGUAAAGCGCGCGCAGGCGGUUUCUUAAGUCUGAUGUGAAAGCCCCCGGCUCAACCGGGGAGGGUCAUUGGAAACUGGGAAACUUGAGUGCAGAAGAGGAGAGUGGAAUUCCACGUGUAGCGGUGAAAUGCGUAGAGAUGUGGAGGAACACCAGUGGCGAAGGCGACUCUCUGGUCUGUAACUGACGCUGAGGCGCGAAAGCGUGGGGAGCGAACAGGAUUAGAUACCCUGGUAGUCCACGCCGUAAACGAUGAGUGCUAAGUGUUAGAGGGUUUCCGCCCUUUAGUGCUGCAGCUAACGCAUUAAGCACUCCGCCUGGGGAGUACGGUCGCAAGACUGAAACUCAAAGGAAUUGACGGGGGCCCGCACAAGCGGUGGAGCAUGUGGUUUAAUUCGAAGCAACGCGAAGAACCUUACCAGGUCUUGACAUCCUUUGCCACUUCUAGAGAUAGAAGGUUCCCCUUCGGGGGACAAAGUGACAGGUGGUGCAUGGUUGUCGUCAGCUCGUGUCGUGAGAUGUUGGGUUAAGUCCCGCAACGAGCGCAACCCUUGAUCUUAGUUGCCAGCAUUCAGUUGGGCACUCUAAGGUGACUGCCGGUGACAAACCGGAGGAA